GGAAACCGUUAAGAAAUAGUCUGCAUUGGCGGUGGACUGACUCCGGGCAAUACUCGCCGAGCUAGUGCUACCUUGCUCUCUUCAAGGGAUCAAUCCCAGACCCUUUGUGAAGCUAAGGACGUGGUGCUUCUGGUCUCGAGCACAUAAUAUCCGGGCCACAUACGCGAGCGUAAGUAAUGAAGCAAAUCAAGAAAUACGUCUGGGCGUAUGGGCCUGGAAGUAGACGGAGGAGACGGCAAACUAGUCGAGCCGUGGCCCAGGACGUCGGGCCUCUUCCUGAUCCGUGGAUCAGGAUAAUUGUUGUCGUCUCCUACCUCACGCUGCUGCGUUUUUUUAGUAGAGAGAGGGCCGAGCUUUGGGAGAGGCGAUUCGACAACUUAGCGAAGAUCUGCCGGUGGAAAUGGAGUUCCUGAUGCAGCCAAUUAAAAGAUUAACGGCGUUGGAGGAGGUUAAUGGUAGUGACGUCCCGAUGGACCACCUCCAUUAGAUUAGUGCGGGAAUGGAUCAGCCCCUCGCGGAGAGCUUCGAUGGGCGGCUUCGUGUGGCGGAUCGACCGGUGGCAUCUGAGAAGGGGGGGGAUUCGCCAGAAACUUCCGCAUAGUCCAUAGGCAAGAAGGAUCCUAGAGCUCCAGGAUGGACCCGCUGGUAUGAUCGGAGAGAAAAUAGCAAAUCGAUAAUUUUAUUGUGGAGUUAUGCAGAUACUAUUUCCAUAGACAUGUGAAUGCUUGUGAUUAGAAGAGUAGAUGGCAGGUGGGAUAUAAGUAGUGUCUGAACACCUUCGUAUGUAAUGUUCUGGUAUUGGAUUGUUGGUUCAGUAAUUUACAUAGUUACAGGCGCUGGAUAAAGAUAAAUCUUGUUUCUGUGUAAAUGUGUCAUAUGUAAAGAAAACAUGAAAUAUUCGAAUAAAAAUUAGGAGACAGUCAUUGGGUGAAGGGGACAAAGAUAUAUCUUGUUUCUGUGUAAAUGUGUCAUGUUAAUGACAUUUAGGAGACAGUAAAUGGAGAGGGGGAAGGAUACAUUUUGCUACUGCAUAAAUAGACCUCGGGGCAUGAUAUAAUUUUCAGGAAUGUGUCAUGUCACUGAAGAGCUGUUGUGUACCAACAAUGCUGUUAGCACAGUGUGAUCUCUAAGGGAGGAACAUUAGCUAGCAGGACCAAAACUCUGGAAGCAAGAAAGAUAAUGAGGGAAAUCAGACUCCUCUGGUGACUGGAACGAGAACGCUGGGUCAGCAAGUGGUGGAAUGCCGCAAGCUAAGCCGUGGAUCAGAAGAGGAAAAUCUAUUUGGUCCGUGGCUCGUGAAAUCUGCUUUUCCGUCGAAUGGCUGGAGGCACGAAUUGGAUGCAGAGCUAUGGCUCUUCUCCCCCAAGGCCCCAACGCGGGCGGCAUUUGGAAGCGGAGGAGUGAGAAAGAGGGAUAGGAAGCAGAGGCGCCGACAGCCAUGAAGUUCCUAAUGCAACUAAUCAAUCAGGAGGUAUGUCGAUUCGUAAGUAUAUUGUGAUCUUUUUCUGUUUUGCACGCGCGGAAGGGGGAACUCGCCGCAGGUGUCAUGGCUGUGUAUAGGUAAGGUCAACCCUCAAGCUCCAUGGUGGGCUAAGAGGUUAGUUCACAACAUACUAACAUAGAGAUGUAAAAAUUCGUAGGUGGUAAUUGGGAUAGAGUACAUUUGUAGAAAUUUGGUCCCUGUUCAUAUAAUUUGGAUAGAGUAUGGUAGUCGCAAGGAAGUAAUUUGGAUAGAGUAUGUUGUAAAUUUUGAUUAGCAGCUUAAUAGGGCAGUUUUGGAACUUUGCAUUUAAGAAAUGUUGCAUCCUUGGGAGAAGAAUUGGUACUUCCUCUGUAAAUUAAUAUAAGAUCUAAAAGAUUUUAUAUUUACAGUUGGAGUACAAAUGUACCACAAAUGCAGUUCUGCAGAUUUGGCAGAUGCUUUAAGUUUAAAAGAACAGAACUAGGUACUAGUCAAACAUUUUUUUUUUGGUUUAGCAGCUAAAUAGGCUGGUGAGUAGAAGUGUGGUCUCACAAGAUACUGGUUCCUUGAGGGGAAUAUUUGCAGAGGCAUUUUAAAAAAUUGGAUGCUUAGGACUACAUUUUUUGUAAACAUGAUUUGCAUAACCUGCAGUUUUUUUUUGUCUGUUUGAAGCGAACUCGUCGUUCAGUCUAUCACCUUAUCAUUUUUGUUAUGAAAUGAAUCAUUAGUAGCAUGCCUUUUCUCUUCUUCCCAUAUUGUUUUCUGUCACAUUAAGCAUGAUUUUUUAUGUUUAUUUGAAGCAGAGGGCCUGAUGCAAAACUGUAUCAUAUUUUUACUGAUUUUUGCUGCGACGAGCCCCUUUAUUUGCUUUGCUUACAAAGCUAAUAUUUAAAUCUUUUGAUAUUUUUAGCAUAUGUUUUGGUUGAAUUGAACGGCCCAUAAGUUACAUCAUCACAUGUUGUUCUAGCCUAUUUGAAGCUUUAGAUUUAUUUCAUAUAUGGAUCUUGGACUACAAACCGAAUCUGGAUUUGGUGACUUCAUAACCAUUGCAGCCCUGUUUCUGGUUUAUCUCUUUACGUUGGGUAUGGAUGUGUUCAUGCGUUUGUGGAUGAAGCGAAGCUUCUGUAGGCUAGUAGGCGAUGGUCUUUAUAGGGCCACCCAUUGUUUUUCUGCAAUUUGUUGUGUUCUUGCUCUUCCACCUAUUUACUGAUUUGUUUACUGAUGUUACAGAAAUCUAAACCUGAAAUUAUAUUCAUUCAUGGAGUCAGGAAACAAGAACUGGAUCCAUGUGUGAAAUGACAUGUUCAAUAAACCUUCGGAGCUUGGCACUAAUAUGUUCGGCGGCCGCCAUCAAACUCUUUUGCAAUCUCAGAGCCCGCCUCUAACAUGCAGAUGGUCCAUCAGCGUAAUUUGAUGAACUUGAAUAUGCUAGGCACUACUAGAAGUUUGGAAACCCUAAACUCAAAUUCUAGAAUUCUUGUACCUUUCCUGUGGUGCAGCCAAAGGCUGUUUAUCUUAAUUCCUGAGAUUUUGUUUCCCAAUACAACAGGAGAUGUCUUGACAUCACAAUCCUGUGUUUUUACUUA